rnacentral:rRNA from 1 species
GACGAACGCUGGCGGCGUGCUUAACACAUGCAAGUCGAACGGAAAGGCCCUGCUUUUGUGGGGUGCUCGAGUGGCGAACGGGUGAGUAACACGUGAGUAACCUGCCCUUGACUUUGGGAUAACUUCAGGAGACUGGGGCUAAUACCGGAUAGGAGCUCCUGCUGCAUGGUGUGGGUUGGAAAGUUUCGGCGGGUGGGGAUGGACUCGCGGCUUAUCAGCUUGUUGGUGGGGUAGUGGCCUACCAAGGCUUUGACGGGUAGCCGGCCUGAGAGGGUGAACGGCCACAUUGGGACUGAGAUACGGCCCAGACUCCUACGGGAGGCAGCAGUGGGGAAUAUUGCACAAUGGGCGGAAGCCUGAUGCAGCAACGCCGCGUGCGGGAUGACGGCCUUCGGGUUGUAAACCGCUUUCGCCUGUGACGAAGCGUGAGUGACGGUAAUGGGUAAAGAAGCACCGGCUAACUACGUG